rnacentral:rRNA from 1 species
UGGGGAAUAUUGCACAAUGGGGGAAACCCUGAUGCAGCGACGCCGCGUGGAGGAAGAAGGUCUUCGGAUUGUAAACUCCUGUUGUUGAGGAAGAUAAUGACGGUACUCGACAAGGAAGUGACGGCUAACUACGUGCCAGCAGCCGCGGUAAAACGUAGGUCACAAGCGUUGUCCGGAAUUACUGGGUGUAAAGGGAGCGCAGGCGGGAGAACAAGUUGGAAGUGAAAUCCAUGGGCUCAACCCAUGAACUGCUUUCAAAACUGUUUUUCUUGAGUAGUGCAGAGGUAGGCGGAAUUCCCGGUGUAGCGGUGGAAUGCGUAGAUAUCGGGAGGAACACCAGUGGCGAAGGCGGCCUACUGGGCACCAACUGACGCUGAGGCUCGAAAGUGU